GCCCCGUUCGUCUAGUUGGCCUAGGACGCAAGAUUUUCAUUCUUGAAAUCAGGGGUUCGAAUCCCCUACGGGGUAC
rnacentral:tRNA from 1 species